rnacentral:tRNA from 1 species
GGUCCCGUAGUGGAGCGGUUUAACACGCCUGCCUGUCACGCAGGAGAUCGCGGGUUCGAUUCCCUCGGGACCGCCA